UGGGCCAGUGAUGAUGACUUGUAGCAGAUAAGUCUAUAUAGUGAAUAAUAUAUGUCCUGAUACUGAGGUCCAA
ensembl:snoRNA